UACGUAGGGGGCAAGCGUUGUCCGGAAUCAUUGGGCGUAAAGAGCUCGUAGGUGGUUCGGUAAGUCAGGUGUGAAACCUCCAGGCUCAACCUGGAGACGCCACUUGAUACUGCUGUGACUGGAGUCCGGUAGGGGAGCGUGGAAUUCCUGGUGUAGCGGUGAAAUGCGCAGAUAUCAGGAGGAACACCAGUGGCGAAGGCGGUUGCCUGGGGCUUUGCUGACGCUGACGCGCGAAAGCGUGGGGAGCGAUCCGG
rnacentral:rRNA from 1 species